rnacentral:rRNA from 1 species
UACGUAGGGAGCGAGCGUUAUCCGGAUUUAUUGGGUGUAAAGGGUGCGUAGACGGGAGUCUAAGUUGGUUGUGAAAUCCCUCGGCUUAACUGAGGAACUGCAACCAAAACUGGAUUUCUUGAGUGCGGAAGAGGAGAGUGGAAUUCCUAGUGUAGCGGUGAAAUGCGUAGAUAUUAGGAGGAACACCAGUGGCGAAGGCGACUCUCUGGUCCGCAACUGACGUUGAUGCACGAAAGUGUGGGGAGCAAACAGG